CCGUGCAAAGGUAGCGUAAUCAUUUGUCUUUUAAAUGAAGACCUGUAUGAACGGCAUCACGAGGGUUCAACUGUCUCCUCCCCCCAGUCAAUGAAAUUGAUCUGCCCGUGCAGAAGCGGACAUAAAAACAUAAGACGAGAAGACCCUAUGGAGCUUCAGGCUAAAGAUUCAAGCAUGUAAAGAAGUCCCACACAACAAAAGAUACAAAAUUAAUUUAAACUUAAUGCCCAAAUGAUCCCAAGCCUUCGGUUGGGGCGACCACGGGGAAAAACAAAGCCCCCGUAUGGAAUGAACAACCUCCUCUAAACUAAGAAAUACACCUCUAAGUAACAGAAAAUCUGACCAAACAUGACCCGGAACAAACAAAUCCGAUCAAUGAACCAAGUUACCCUAGGGAUAACAGCGCAAUCCUUUCCCAGAGUCCCUAUCGACGAAGGGGUUUACGACCUCGAUGUUGGAUCAGGACAUCCUAAUGGCGAAGCCGCU
rnacentral:rRNA from 1 species